ACGCUGGCGGCGUGGAUUAGGCAUGCAAGUCGAACGGUAUCAUCCUUUCGGGGAUGAGAGAGUGGCGAACGGGUGAGUAACACGUAGGUGAUCUACCCUCAAGACGGGGACAACCCAGGGAAACUUGGGCUAAUACCGGAUGUGAGCUAUCGCGAGAUAGUUUGAAAGGUGGCUUCGGCUGCCGCUUGAGGAUGAGCCUGCGUCCUAUUAGCUAGUUGGUGAGGUAACGGCUCACCGAGGCGAUGAUAGGUAGGCGGCCUUAACGGGUGGUCGCCCACACUGGGAUUGAGAUACGGCCCAGACUCCUACGGGAGGCAGCAGUCGAGAAUAGUCUACAAUGGUCGAAAGACUGAUAGUGCGACGCCGCGUGAACGAAGAAGCCCUUCGGGGUGUAAAGUUCUUUUAUAUGUGAGCAGUGACAUCUAUAUUAAUAGUAUGGGUGUAGAGAUAUUAGCAUAUGAAUAAGCAACGGCUAACUCCGUG
rnacentral:rRNA from 1 species